GACACGGACAGGUCUCGAUAGACCGUACAGAAAUAGCCACGAUAGGCCAGACACAGAUAGCCACAAUAUGCAGACAUGGGACAGGCCUUGAUAGACCGUACAGAAAAAUAGCCAUGAUAGCCGGACACGGACAGGUCUCGAUAGACCGUACAGAAAUAGUCACGAUAGGCAGACACAGACAGGCCUUGAAAGACCAUACAGAUAUAGUAACACCACCACCAGUAAUUGCAUGAAUUUACCUGAUUAGUUACAGGAGAGCUUGCUGAGCUUCAAUAAUGGUUUUGAAUCAGGUCUGAUGUAUGAUUCAAAUGCUUAGGAAGACCAUCUGCCCAUGAUCUUAACAGCUGAUGUAGAGAUCCCUCAUUCAGCUGCUGAAGUAGCUGCCCCAAUUCUGAAUGAAUGGCCAGUAGAUAGACUGCAGCUUUGAGAACAGUGGUUAAGUGAGUUCUAAACAGCCUUGGAAAGGGGGCUCCGUUAGGAAAAAUAGAGCUGGUGCGUUUUAGAAAUUCUAGGUCGGAUUUUUAAGAAAUUU